GUGAUGUGGCAAGGGGAAGUCACUCUAGCAAUAUCAACAAAUCUACAACUGUCAAACUAAUUUUAAAAGGAUUUUUGCAGAAUAUCUUGGUUGUCAGCUAAGUUUUAGUUAUCUUCAAUUAAUCUUGCAGAGAUGGGUCGAAAAGAUGCCUCAGCAAUGCAUUCAGCCCCAGUAGAUACUUACAGAAAGCAGAUAGGUAAACAUGAUUACAAUAAAGAGAAGAAAAAGAUGAAAUCCUCAAAAGCAGCAUCUGAUCUAAAGAAAUCCUCCUCACCUGUCAGGGACACAGCACUGGUGAUAGUGACUGGGCUGUUAAUCGUGAUGGGAAUGUAUUUCGGACUGUACUGGUAUCUUAACAGAGACCAAGUUUGACCAACCAGAAAUAAAUGGGCCUGAAAUAAACGGGCUCCAUUUUAAUGGAUGUUGAAAGACAAAGGACACAUUUUAUUGGAUAUUUGUCAGAGCUAUUAUAGCUUGAUAAGCAAGAAUUUGACAGUGACAAAACUGUAGGAAAGUCUCAUUCAGUUCACAAACACAAGUAAAUAAAUUGUGUAUGAGCGAUCUAUUUGCUUUUCUUGUUCAAAGGGAGGCCAUCCAAUGACUCACUAUGGCUACAUUUUUAUAGUAGCAUGUAGCUUUCACAUGUUUGUGAAAUAUUACACAGAGGAAGGUUGUAAGUGAAUUUCUUUGUACCACGGACCUAUAAAGCUUAUACAGUUUAUACGUCCGUUUUUGUACAGAUUGUUAAAUAAUAUUGGAAUGGUGCAUGGGGAAUUUCCAAAACGUUAUGGUGAAAGCACAGCACAUUUUUAAAAGUGCUAUCCAAUCUUCAUUUAUAAACAGUCGAGACUCGCUAUGUCAAACUCCUUUAUCUCGAUGUUCUGGUUAUGUCAAACUGUUUUUGAAUGUGUUGUGUUUUGUAAGUCAUGUCUUGUAUUUCUGUUACGACUUCGUCAUAGCGAUUUUUGACUGCCUAGCAUUUUAUCUAUGAAAGGUGUUAGAACUACAUGUAGAAAUGUCAGCAUCAUGAUUUUGGAUGCUAUUUAUUGACUAGUCUACCAUUGAAUUACAUCUUUUCACUUGCAUUUAUAAAUUGUAAAUUUAUUAAUUUAUUAUAUUUUUUAAAUGCUCUAAAUUUGUUGAUCACAGGAGACUCAAAUUAAUAUUUGAAAUAUGAUUUACGAUUUACAGUCUUACAGACAUCUGCAUUAGAAUAGGCCGAUUGUUCAGAUCUUUGUUAAAGUUAACAAAAAUAAUAACGUUGUUAACCGGAUAGUUGGUUAUAUAAUUUUUUUUCCAUCUCUGGAAGUUUUAUAGCAAUUCAUGGGCUACUGUUUUUUCUUUUUAGAUUUGAGACUACUGUUUCAGCUGUUCUUGUUUUAUUUAAUUGUGUUAGUAAUUGUGUUCAACUCCAUGUAUUUACCUUUUAAAAGUUAACAAAGAUGUUGUUAAUCGAGUUGUUAACUUGAACAAAGUUCUGAACAAUCAGAUCAAUGUCACAUGGACCACUUAUUAUAUACCUCAACGUUUUCAUGAACUUUAGAUAAUAACAUUUUUUCUUGACUUGACUUGAUAGAAGCAAAUUACUUCGGUUAAGCAAUAACUUAAGCGAUUAAGAUGUACUGAUUUAUAUUCCUACUAUGUUCUUGCUAUCCCUCUUCUUGCAUAAUAACCUCAUAUUCCACAAUGUGCAUCUUGGAGAAACUAAAUAUUUUGAACGAAUACCAAAGAUUAAUGUAUGACUUUAUUGCAUAUUUUUAAAAUUUCGCCUCCUUUGUUAUUCUUUCAUCUUUGCUUCUAUUGUCCUUGUGUUUGUUUGCUAUUAUAAGAUAGGUCUGUUCUGACAAAGGACCAUGCUUUAUUCCAAUGGUUCAAUUACAGGUUCUUUGCUGGAAUGUUAUGGUUACACAUGUUUUAGCCGAAUGUUGCUUUGCUUGAAUGUUAUGGUUACGCAUGUUUUAGCCGAAUGUUGCUUUGCUUGAAUGUUAUGGUUACACAUGUUUUAUCUGAAUGUUGCUUUGCUUGAAUGUUAUGGUAACGCAUGUUUUAGCCGAAUGUUGCUUUGCUUGAAUGUUAUGGUUACGCAUGUUUUAGCCGAAUGUUGCUUUGCUUGAAUGUUAUGGUUACGCAUGUUUUAGCCGAAUGUUGCUUUGCUUGAAUGUUAUGGUUACGCAUGUUUUAGCCGAAUGUUGC